AACGAACGCUGGCGGCAUGCCUAACACAUGCAAGUCGAACGAGACCUUCGGGUCUAGUUGCGCACGGCUGCGUAACGCGUGGGAACCUGCCCUUAGGUUCGGAAUAACUCCCCGUAAGGGGUGCUAAUACCGGUUAAUGUCUUCGGACCAAAGAUUUCUCGCCUUUGGAUGGGCCCUCGUUGGAUUAGCUAGUUGGUAGGGUAAAAGCCUACCAAGGCGACGAUCCAGAGCUGGUCGGAGAGGAUGAUCAGCCACACUGGGACUGAGACACGGCCCAGACUCCUACGGGAGGCAGCAGUGGGGAAUAUUGGACAAUGGGCGAAAGCCUAAUCCAGCAAUGCCGCGUGAGUGAUGAAGGCCGUAGGGUUGUAAAGCUCUUUUACACGGGAUGAUAAUGACAGUACCGGGAGAAUAAGCUCCGGCUAACUCCGUG
rnacentral:rRNA from 1 species